rnacentral:lncRNA from 1 species
UUUUCUUUCAUUGUCAUUUGAAGCUAUUUUAUUUAUUUAUUUAUUUUAUUUAAAUAUAUGUGUGUGUACAUGUUUGGAAGGUAAAAUAAAUAUGUUGUAAAUUCAAAUCAGAGCGUCUUCCUUGUCUGGAAUUGAAUGUAUUCUUGAGUCUAUAAGGUAACGAUAAUAUAAUAAUAAGAUAACCUUGUUUGACUUGUGAAAUGGGUGACUGACACUGAAAAUUUUGGUUUUGUUUAUACUAUACUAGAUACUUGUACUAUAUUAACUUGGUUAAAUAGAACUGCAUUACUAAAAAGAGACUAAAAUACAAUUUUUAUUGACUAAAAUGUCAUCAGUUUUCGUGGACUAAAACUAGACGAAAAUAGUCAUGGAUAAUUCUGACUAAAAUAACACUAAAAUGCUCAGACUUUUAGUUGACUGAAACUUGACUAGACUAAAAAGAGUAAAAACGUGACUAAAACUAAUAAAAAUUAAAAUGACAGUUUGACACAAACACUAGGCUAAAACUAAAAUUAAAACACGCCGCCAAAAACAACACUACACACCACUCAAUUACAGCCUCAUAAUUAUACGUUUGUGGUCCAUCAUAGGUGUAUAAAUGUACAAAUUCUUCUGUCAAAACUAGCAUUGAAUCGAAUAUAUAAUAAUAAUAAUGUGGACCAUGACACACAAUAGAACUGCAGUCUAGUUGUCAUGGUAAUUGAUUAUGUCCGACUAUUAAGCACACCCCCAGUCUCUGUUUUAGAAAGAAUUGAGAAAGAAAUUGGCUGGAGGGGGGCUUUAAAGUCUGCUGCUUACUGACAUGCAGGAUAUAGGGGUAGCUUUUUUCUCUUCCUCUGGCUGGGUGGAUCAUCUCAAGGUCCACUGCUUUUUUUUAUCCAAACCACAAGCUUCCUUUCCCGAUGACUGUAUUUCUGUCAUAGGUACAUAAUUCUAAGAACCAUCCUCUUACAUCAAGUGUAUGCCGGGGCAACAUAUUUGAUUUUGUAAGUAUGGAGGCUACAAAGAUAUAGAAAAUAGAAAACUUACACAUAUUAGAGUGAAACUCAUUUUGAUGUUCAGAUGAAUCAAUAUAAAGAACAUAAAAAUCCAUUGCUGAGUUACGUG